GAUGAACGCUGGCGGCGUGCCUAAUACAUGCAAGUCGAGCGAACAGAUGAGGAGCUUGUUCCUCUGACGUUAGCGGCGGACGGGUGAGUAACACGUGGAUAACCUACCUAUAAGACGGGGAUAACUUCGGGAAACCGGAGCUAAUACCGGAGAAUAUAUUGAACCGCAUGGUUCAAUAGUGAAAGACGGUUUUGCUGUCACUUAUAGAUGGUUCCGCGCCGCAUCAGCUAGUUGGUAAGGUAACGGCUUACCAAGGCAACGAUGCGUAGCCGACCUGAGAGGAUGAUCAGCCGCACUGGAAAUGAGGAACGGUCCUGUCUCCUACUGGAGGCAGCAGUGGGGACUCUUCCGCGAUGAGCGGAAGCCUAACAGAACCACAACGCUUUGGUGAUGAAGGUCCUCGGUUCGUAACGUACGGUUAUUGGUGAAGAGCGACUGUAUGAUAAACUAUGCCCGUCUUGCCGCUACCUGAACAGUAGUGCACGGCUAACUGCGUG
rnacentral:rRNA from 1 species